GUGAAAAUGAUGUAAAUUUUAUGUUGUCUGAAUACAUUGAUGUGUUCAAAGGAACCACUGAUUCAC
rnacentral:snoRNA from 1 species